AUCCGGCUGACGAGUUCUAAAUAGGACGAAACGUGCAUCCUGGAU
rfam:Schistosoma haematobium scaffold647_11, whole genome shotgun sequence.